rnacentral:lncRNA from 1 species
CAGAGUCAAGCUCAUAUUCUCAUUUGACAGCUCAGCUUCUGAUGCAAAAUCCAUACCAUUGGCAUCACCUUUCAAACGUGUGAUGUUGUUGUUGGGAAGUAUUUCAGUUUGCUCAGCAUCAAGGUCAUCUGCUGUAUCUUUCAAGAUUGUGAUGCCAUUUUUGGAGAACUUCUCUGUGUCAGAAUCUUCACCACUGGUUGCCAGCAAAUCAUCACUGGUGGGAUGAUCAGUUUGCUCAGCUUUUACAGCAGCAUCAAGGUCAUCUGCUGUAUCUUUCAAACGUGUGAUUUUGUUAUUGGGAAGUAUUUCAGUUUGCUCAGCAUCAAGGUCAUCUGCUGUAUCUUUCAAGAUUGUGAUGCCAUUUUUGGAGAACUUCUCUGUGUCAGAAUCUUCACCACUGGUUGCCAGCAAAUCAUCACUGGUGGGAUGAUCAGUUUGCUCAGCUUUU